AGCCAAUAAUCUGUCAUUCUUACCAUCCAGAAUGUUCACAUGAAGAUAUAAACAGAAAAAGAAGCCACUUCAUAUGUAAAGAAAAAGGAAGAUGCUUCCUCAAGAUCUCUAAAGCUCGGAUUCACACUCCUCAUCCUCCCCGAGAAGAGUGAGGUGAGCAUCAGAGCAGGAGAAAAUUCUCAUCAAAGAACUUUGCCCUGUAAGUACUGCGCCCUCAAACUUACUUGGAGAUACUUCUUCAAGAAUGCUCAUCGAUGUAGUGUGUUCAUCAUUAAAAGGAUAAACAAUCUACUCUUCAGAUGUAGUUUCCAGCUCAUUGGAAGGAAGGCCUCCCUCCGAUGUUGUCUCUGCUCCUUCACAUCACACUGGAAGAGGUCAAUUAAAAAACACUUGAAGCCAGUCACCUAA
rnacentral:lncRNA from 1 species